GUAAGCGGACGCGCGGGGAGCCGGCGGCGCGCGCCGAAUGAGGCCGGGCGCGCGCGGGGGGACCCGGCACGAAGAGGAAGGAGCGCGGUGGGGAGUUGGGAGCGCGGGGCUCCCCCGGGACCCCCCGCAGCUCCGACGGGGUUUCAGUUGACUCGGACUGCACCGCAGCGAGAGUCCGUUAGGAGUCUCCGCCUGGGCGCGCAGCUGGCCGACCAUCCCGGCCCGCCUCCCCCUCGCUCCCACCAGGAAGGGCAGCCGGGCGAGAGCCAGUGACCUCUCCUCCCGCCAGCCCAGAACGAACAAUCACCAGUCCAGCGUGAGUUGUGGACCACUGGUAGGACUGGAUAGAAGAAUCAACCUCACCCUCACCACACUAACUGAAAGUGAUACUUCUCUUCAAAGGAAAAUCAGAGCACAUUACAGAAAGAAAGAAGAAAAGAAGCUGGGCAGCUCGAAUGAGAUAGAUUAGGGCAUGGCAAAGGCUGGCUGGGGAAGUAGGCGUGACCUGUUAACUACAAGAUCCGGGACACAUGUGCUUAAAUGUUCUCCAAAGCCCUGCACGUGGACUUCUGGCUAACCCGACCAGGUUUUCAACAGGAUGGCCUAGACCUGAGAUCAGCCUGAGGCGUGGGAUCCAAGCACCGGCUCUGAGAACCCAGAUAUAGAAGUUCUCGCGGUUUCCUCAAAAUUUGGACGCUAUUAAAGAAAGGCAGCCAGGAGGAGCAGCUAUCUUGGCUUUCCAAGAAAGCCCAUGCUGGGUUUUUUUGUUUUUGUUUUUUUUUUUUUUGGUACUGGGGAUCGAACUCGGGUCCGCUUGCAUAGCAGGCGGCAAAAACACUGAGCUAAAUCCCCGGCCCUAACCCAUGCUGCUUUUACCUUUGCUCUUACCCUCUUUUUGUCUUUACUUGGACCAGGCUCACUCUGUAGAGAGUUUCUCAC
rnacentral:lncRNA from 1 species